CCUACGGGCGACUGCAGUGGGGAAUAUUGGACAAUGGGGGCAACCCUGAUCCAGCCAUGCCGCGUGUGUGAAGAAGGCCCUCGGGUUGUAAAGCACUUUCAGUGAGGAAGAACGCCUGGUGGUUAAUACCCAUCAGGAAAGACAUCACUCACAGAAGAAGCACCGGCUAACUCCGUGCCAGCAGCCGCGGUAAUACGGAGGGUGCGAGCGUUAAUCGGAAUUACUGGGCGUAAAGCGCGCGUAGGUGGCUUGAUAAGCCGGUUGUGAAAGCCCCGGGCUCAACCUGGGAACGGCAUCCGGAACUGUCAAGCUAGAGUGCAGGAGAGGAAGGUAGAAUUCCCGGUGUAGCGGUGAAAUGCGUAGAGAUCGGGAGGAAUACCAGUGGCGAAGGCGGCCUUCUGGACUGACACUGACACUGAGGUGCGAAAGCGUGGGUAGCAAACAGGAUUAGAUACCCCUGUAGUC
rnacentral:rRNA from 1 species